GAAGAUAUAGCUCAAGUGGUAGAGUGCAUGCUUAGCAUGCGUGAGGUCCUGGGUUCAAUCUCCGGUACUUACU
rnacentral:tRNA from 1 species